rnacentral:misc_RNA from 1 species
GAAAUACAAUCCAUCUGGAAAAACGUUGCCCCUAACGGGCAAAUUGGUAGAUGAAUCCACAGCAGCCCCUAAAGAAGCUAACUUGUUAUUUUCAUGGGGACCAAUCGCAUCAUCAGCAGGUGCUACCCAACUCUCCUUGUAGACAAACCUUAGCGGUUUAUGUUUAAGAUCACUGUGUGAAAUCUCACGAAUAACAACUUUAUGAAACAAGGGAAAGACAAAAGACUUGGUCUUUU